rnacentral:rRNA from 1 species
GCUAGAGUUUUAUGUGAAAAGGGGUGUACUAAAGUGUGGAGAGAUGAAAUUCUGUGAUACCUUACUGGAACAGUCAACGGCGAAGGCGACCUUUUAUGUAAAAACUGACGUUGAAGGACGAAGGCUUAGGACACCAAUAGGAUUAGAUACCCUAGCAGUCUAAGCAGACAAUGAUGAAUGUCAUAGGCAAGAAUUAUAAUUUUGUCUAUAAAUGAAAGUGUAAGCAUUCCACCUCAAGAGUAACGCGGCAACGCCGGAACUGAAAUCAUUAGACCGUUUCUGAAACCAGUAGUGGAGUAUGUUGUUUAAUUUGAUCGUACGCAAAAAACCUUACCACAGUCUGAAUAGAUAUCUAAAUAUCAUACAAGCGCUGCACGGCUGUCUUCAGUUAAUGUCGUGAGAUUUUGGUUAGUUCCAUUAAAUUAACGUAAACCCUUACU